rnacentral:rRNA from 1 species
CUAACACAUGCAAGUAGAACGCUGAAGAGAGGAGCUGCUCUUCUUGGAUGAGUUGCGAACGGGUGAGUAACGCGUAGGUAACCUGCCUGGUAGCGGGGGAUAACUAUUGGAAACGAUAGCUAAUACCGCAUAAAAUGGAUUAUCGCAUGAUAAUGCAUUGAAAGGUGCAAAUGCAUCACUACCAGAUGGACCUGCGUUGUAUUAGCUAGUUGGUGGGGUAACGGCUCACCAAGGCGACGAUACAUAGCCGACCUGAGAGGGUGAUCGGCCACACUGGGACUGAGACACGGCCCAGACUCCUACGGGAGGCAGCAGUAGGGAAUCUUCGGCAAUGGACGGAAGUCUGACCGAGCAACGCCGCGUGAGUGAAGAAGGUUUUCGGAUCGUAAAGCUCUGUUGUAAGAGAAGAACGAGUGUGAGAGUGGAAAGUUCACACUGUGACGGUAUCUUACCAGAAAGGGACGGCUAACUACGUGCCAGCAGCCGCGGUAAUACGUAGGUCCCGAGCGUUGUCCGGAUUUAUUGGGCGUAAAGCGAGCGCAGGCGGUUAGAUAAGUCUGAAGUUAAAGGCUGUGGCUUAACCAUAGUACGCUUUGGAAACUGUUUAACUUGAGUGCAAGAGGGGAGAGUGGAAUUCCAUGUGUAGCGGUGAAAUGCGUAGAUAUAUGGAGGAACACCGGUGGCGAAAGCGGCUCUCUGGCUUGU